CGGGGUAGUUGUGGGUGUGCUGCGAGUACUUCGAAGUCAGGUGAUUUAUAAUUAUUCAAUGAGGUGUAGAUAAGGUUGUGAAUUCAAAUGUUUUCCCAACAUACAUGCACGGUAGUUGGACACUAAAUAGCCUUUUGUGUGUUGCAGCACUAGUUGCAUGUUGGAAGUGUUGCCGGCGGGGGCUAAGGUUUGCAUUUUUCGCUCCUCAAUAUAUUGGAAUUUGUCUGGUGAAACAAAGUCUGCAGUCGGAGAUUUCAAAAUACGGAACGUAAUUCUGAGGUAUCUAUUCAUGACGUUAAUGCACUAGCGUGCGAUAAUUAAAAAGGCUCGACUAAUAUGCUGGCAAUUCGUCCCAACAGUAAGUGUUGGUAUGCACCGUAAAUCGCAAGCUCAAUCUUUUUACAUGUGCAUAAUAUGCAAGUUUAUUUCAAGCAAAAUACUUAUGACGCGGCCGCGUCCAUUUCAGUUGAUUGCAGACGCGUGAUCUGAUCUACUUCAUUAGCAUACCGUGCACCUCUUAAAUAUGACGAUCCCCGCGAUGCUGCCGUGUGCUUCCACUUUGUAAGGGCUGAGUUAAUAUGGUAAAAGUAUCUAUAAUAUUUACGAAAAUUACUAAUUUCUCUACUAAGGACAAAGUUCUCAUAUCAUCGCCUGUUUCUAUGUA